rnacentral:sRNA from 1 species
CAAAUUUUUUUUUACAAGUCGAUCCACUUAGUUCUUACCGUUUUUUUGGUAUAACCAUUAUUUUAUAAAACAUCGUUCCCGCUAGAUUUUUAUCGCAUCAAACAUAGCGUACUACAAACGGAAACGGUCAUCUAUGGCGAUCGAUCAAAUAUACAACACCAAAAUCGAAUCCAAAAAAUAG